AAGACACAUGUUCUUCCUCAAAGACAAAAUCUCUAAUAACUUUAUCUCCCCACCCCCAAACUAAAUAUCCUCAAAAAACCUAGCAUUACCCGUCUCAAAUAUAGUUCUAGAAGUGGGAUCAUAAAACUUAAAUCCCCUGGAUCAUUCAGAGUAUCCAACAAAAUAGCUACUAACCGUUUUAGCAUCCAGUUUCUUUUCAUUCGGCCU
rnacentral:lncRNA from 1 species